UACAGAGGGUGCAAGCGUUGUUCGGAAUCACUGGGCGUAAAGCGCGCGCAGGCGGAUGGUUGCGUCCGGAGUGAAAUUUCGCCGCUCAACGGCGAAGCUGCUUUGGAUACGGACCGUCUAGGGACCGGUAGAGGCUGGUAGAAUUGCAGGUGUAGCGGUGGAAUGCGUAGAGAUCUGCAAGGAUACCCGUGGCGAAGGCGGCCAGCUGGGCCGGAUCCGACGCUGAGGCGCGAAAGCGUGGGGAGCAAACAGG
rnacentral:rRNA from 1 species